UUGCUUUUGUAUGCAACCGCACUGCUGAGGUGCUGAAAAAAAAACAAUGAUGGAUAAAAUGUCCAAGUUUCCGAGCAAUCAAAUCGUUUGGUCCGCGCGGUUGAGAUCCACUUCUUCCAGUGCCGUGCCAGAGAUCGUGUGGAUGCCGGCAUCAAUCUGGUGGCAGAACGGAAGUAAAAUCCAUCGAUGGCGGAUGCGGUAAAUUUAUCAACUUUAAAAAUCGGAUUCGAAUAAACCGGCUGCUGAACCAGCUGAGGCUGCUGAUCGAGUUGCCGACGAUGGUCAUUAGUGCUGUGCUACUGUUUGUGAUGCACCACACGGACCUACUGGCCAAUCUUGGAGAGAAGCUAUCCCACCUUCACGAGUAUCUAUAUUGAUGAUGGGAAUUUCAAGUCAUCAAGGCCGUGUGGAUGCCUCCAUCCGGAAUGCAUGUGCUGCAGCGAGAAAAACGCCACAAGUAAGAAAGCCUUGUAACAACAGAUACCGACAAUU